AUGGUACUCCCUCUGUCCGAAAAUACUUGUCAUCAAAAUGGAUAAAAGGGGAUGUAUCUAGAUGUAUUUUAGUUCUAAAUACAUUUUUUUAUCCAUUUUGAUGACAAGUAUUUUUGGACGGAGGGAGUACUUG
rfam:Triticum aestivum genome assembly, contig: Triticum_aestivum_CS42_TGACv1_scaffold_149390_2BS